GAUGAACGCUGGCGGCGUGCUUAACACAUGCAAGUCGAACGAUGAAGCCCAGCUUGCUGGGUGGAUUAGUGGCGAACGGGUGAGUAACACGUGAGUAACCUGCCCUUAACUCUGGGAUAAGCCUGGGAAACUGGGUCUAAUACCGGAUAGGAGCGCCUACCGCAUGGUGGGUGUUGGAAAGAUUUAUCGGUUUUGGAUGGACUCGCGGCCUAUCAGCUUGUUGGUGAGGUAAUGGCUCACCAAGGCGACGACGGGUAGCCGGCCUGAGAGGGUGACCGGCCACACUGGGACUGAGACACGGCCCAGACUCCUACGGGAGGCAGCAGUGGGGAAUAUUGCACAAUGGGCGCAAGCCUGAUGCAGCGACGCCGCGUGAGGGAUGACGGCCUUCGGGUUGUAAACCUCUUUCAGUAGGGAAGAAGCGAAAGUGACGGUACCUGCAGAAGAAGCACCGGCUAACUACGUG
rnacentral:rRNA from 1 species